rnacentral:lncRNA from 1 species
CUUGAAUCUGCACGGCGGUGACUGUGGGUUUUAAAGGGACAGUGAGGGGUGGGGGUCCGCUGGGGGCGCAUCUGGGUGUCCUCACCCUCUGCUGGAAUCUGUAAAUUAUUGGUCCAGCUUAUCUGUCCAUCUUAUAAUAAAUGACAUCUCCAUACCCUGCCAUGGCCUUGGGGUGGGUGCAGUGCACCUCACCAUCCUGGGACUGGCUUGCCGUGUGGUUUGUUUGGCCAAUGGGGUGUCAGGUGGGAGGGAGCAGAGAGGCCCAACUGGAGAGUGGGAUGGAACACGGUGAGGCCUGACUGGUCAAAGGGAUGUUGGGGGGAUGCCAGCGAAGUGGGCCCUGGAUGUCCUCCCACAGCUACCGUCUUGCACCUUUGCAUGUUCAUGGGAGGCACAUGGUGACCUGCUUGUCACAGAAGAAUGAGACACCCAUAGAAUAGAUGCAAGCUGCAUCUGUGGCCCAGAGCCAAGACUGACCAAGCCCAGCCAAGCCCAGCCAAGCCCAGCCCACCUGCAGAGUAAGAGUGCUUUUGCUUAAAUGCAUGAUCCCGCGGGGCACAUUUUGGCACCUGUGUCCUGGUGCACGCCUCCAUCUGCUUCUCUACUGGAGUCCAAAGGGGGAAUUGUGGGGCUGUUGCACUUGAGAAUUCAACCCUGCACAGGAGUCCCCAGAUGCUCCCAAGAUAUUGACGAACACCCUCUCACAGCAGCGGGUUCCGUGGG